rnacentral:rRNA from 1 species
GACAGAGGGUGCAAACGUUGUUCGGAAUUACUGGGCGUAAAGCGCAUGUAGGCGGCCUAGCAGGUCGGAUGUGAAAUCCCUCGGCUCAACCAAGGAAGUGCAUUCGAAACCGCAAGGCUCGAGUCCCGGAGAGGAUGGUGGAAUUCUCGGUGUAGAGGUGAAGUUCGUAGAUAUCGAGAGGAACACCGGCGGCGAAGGCGGCCAUCUGGACGAGGACUGACGCUGAGAUGCGAAAGCGUGGGGAGCAAACAGG